AUUUUAAAGUCACAUUAAAAUCUCAUGUUGCUUCAAUAGGUGAGAAUUGAAUACACUUAACAUAAAAGGGACAUUUUAAAGUAACACAAAAAAAAUAAGUUGGGUUAUCAGAAUAAUUUAUUACAAUUAACAUUAAUAAAAUAUUUUGAAUUUACAUGAGAAAAUCAUGUUUGUUUUACAAAUAAAAAUUAAGUAUAUUAAAUAGAAAUGAAUCAUUUUGACUAAACAUGAAUAUAAUAUGUGCAACCGAUGUACAUAUUUUUUUCAUGUAAAUUCAAAAGACUUUUUUUUUCAGUGUUGCAUAAAACACAUCAAAGCUGUACUAUUUGCCUGAAUUCUCUCCCGGUCAAUAGUUGAAAAGCUUUGUCUGACCCCUCAUUUGUUGAGAGCAAAAUAGAUUUGGUUCAAUUUACAGAAGGCAUGUGUGCCCCGGGAUACACUGAACAUGAGCUUGUGUCAGGAGUGUUUAUAGGAACCGUGCGCCUAGUCACUCUGUACCAACAGAUCCCUGUUACCCUUUAAAGGCAAAGCCUGCGGAGGUACAUGUUACUGUUGAAAUAUGGAUUAAGAACGAGGUGUACUCCUGUUCCGGUCUGCUGAAACAUUUCUCAGGAUGUAAGGCAAAAAUAUAGAAAAUGUUAACUUUUACAAGUUAGCAUAACUUUUAAAAAUAUUCAAUCACAGUCAGUAAGCGUUUUGUUUCUGUAUCUGCAGGGUAAGAGUUGAAGACAUCAAUUUCAUGUCCUCUGUAACGGAUGAGGUUCAACACAUUUACAAUGGUGUUCACCCAACGACAUAAUGUCUCCAUCAUAGGAAAGUGAUGCAGCGGCUCGAGUGGGAUGAGCAAAGGCUGCUGUCACCAUGAUCAACCCAGUCAGAGGUGGGAGCAUGUGUCAUCAGAGGAGGACUUAAGGUUAUCGGAGUUCCGGAUGCUCUGCUCUCCCAUUUUCUCUCAAUUUCUCUGUCUCUCUUUCUCCCGUCUCUCCCCCUGCGAACAAACCGAACCUUUCCAUCAGCCGCUGCUAUCUCCAAAUGUCAAUCAAAUAGGGUGAACUGCAGGCGACUGUUUUUAAACGACCUCUGUAGUGUCCGCUUCAGACGAAUCAACGGGCAGGACACAGGAGAUGUGUCUCUUCAAGUCCUAUCAUGUCGAGAAAUCCUUUGAUUUUCUAAGAGUGGGGAGAGAAAAAAAAAGAAG
ensembl:lncRNA